GACGAACCGUGCGAACGUUGUUCGGAAUCACUGGGCUUAAAGGGCGCGUAGGCGGCCGGGUUGGUCGUGGGUGAAAUCCCCCAGCUUAACUGGGGAACUGCCUACGAUACUGCCUGGCUCGAGGGAGGAAGGGGCGGUCGGAACUGUCGGUGGAGCGGUGAAAUGCGUUGAUAUCGACAGGAACGCCGGUGGCGAAGGCGGCAUCCUGGACCAACACUGACACUGAGGAGCGAAAGCCAGGGGAGCAAACGGG
rnacentral:rRNA from 1 species